AUGCAUGCUGACGCAGUCGAUGGUGCCGUUCUUGAUUCCACACUUGCGGAGCCACCAGCGCACGAGAAACAAAAACCAAGGCGGGAGAUACCACGAAAAUAUUGGCCACCCAAAUAUGAAGGUGAUAUAAAAUUUGCAGAAGAACAAGCUCGAAAACAAGCUGAAUCAAUUCAAGAACGAGGACAUUAUACUUCUUCUGAGGAAGAACUUGCUCAAAAUGCGAAUAGAUGGAUGACCGAGGAGGCGAUGGUGGCUUUCAGAAGAUACAUCGAGAGUGAAGAUGAUCUUAAGGGAGUUGAGUAUGAAUUUGAUGAACUUCUCCAUCAAUGUUUUAAUGUGGAGCAUUAUUUAAAGACAUGUCAUCACUUCACCUUUACUGUCAAGAUAAAGAAGCAUGGCUCAGCCGAUUGGACAUCAGUGAUGUACUUCGCUGAGGUCAAUGUUAUGCAUGUCAGAACCAAGGAAUGCAUGAGUUAA
rnacentral:rRNA from 1 species